GAGUGGUUGUUUAACGUUCCUUAAAUUUAGUAGGGGAUUUGACUGAAGGGAACGGCCCCAGAGGUAGUGAUUUAAUUAAUUAAUUAAUUUGAAACCCCAACUAUGCCCCAUUAUGACCUGUACUGGGAUAGUGGAGCUUGAUAUUGAUAAGCAUUUUAUACCUUGCCAGCGAAUUGGAUCACAAGAGGUUGCUCAUGAGUUUUUGCUUACAUGUGUAGUAGGAGACUAGGAGCUCAAAAUGUCACGAAAAGCUAUCAGUAUU